GUCCCUCUGAUUGGAAAUAGUAAAGGUUGACUUCGAAACAAAAUAUGUAAUGUUCAACAUUCACAAAAUGAAGUAAGUAUAAAGGAUAUGUAAGUUUCAUAUCUGGGUUAAUGUAAGGCAAAAACAUUCUGUAGAUAAGACGGAUUUGAGGACAUAUGUGAUCCUGAGAGUAGCAAAGCCUGGGUACAACAAAUAUUCCAGGCAGUAUUUCAGGCUUUCAAGGCAGUGUAGUUGGUGGGAUCCAAGUUAAGGGCUCCAAACAGUAAAGGGGGACUCAGAUAAUACCUGGUUUACUGUUAGAACCAAUGGAAAAUUCCACUAAGGUAAGUAUAUGACAUGAAGAAAGGAUGGAGUUGGGAAAUGGAGUGGCAGGGUAGGACAGAGGGACCUAGAGGGCCCAGGAGGGGUGGAGUCAGCUGGGCUGGUAAAAGGCAGGGCUGUGGACACACUUUUCUCUUGUUGCUACCCCCACCCUCAGAAACCCUCUGUGACUCUUCCAUGCUCUGUGAUGCAGGCCUGGGCCUAUCGUUGAGACUGGGCAUCCACAACACUCAGUUACCUUCGGAAGUCAUGCUAUUCAAAGCAUGGAGAAUAUCCUCUGUUUUCUAAACAGCUAUACUGACACAGGGCUGAGCCCUGACUCACCUUGCUUGGAUGGAUAUUGACCACAACUGCAUCUACUUGAGUGGGUUGGGGUUGUUUAUGCUGUACUUUUUCUAUGUGGUAUCGAUGCUGUGUUUGUCAACCCGUGGGAAAAAUCAUGACAUCCAAAAGGUAAGGAACUGUGGGAGAGCCAGGAGGAGAAGGAAAGGUGGGACAUUUAAAGGUUUCCCAGACCAGAAAAGUUUCCAGAGGGAAGCAGAAGAGGAAAGGAAGCUGCUUUCUAUUCUGAAAAGCUUUGGACCUCCUGCUUCCUGCAGUCCCCUGGACCAGCAUCAUGAUACCAUCCGCUUUCGUCGACUGUUAUGCCCAGAUCCUGUCUGUCAGGUGUGUAACAGAGCAACUGCUGAUAUCCAGCGACUGCUGUCUUGGGAGUCCCUGAAAGCUGCUGCUCCCUCUGUGUCCCCUUUGGCUUCUGCAGCUUCUGUGACUGAGUCAUCGUUCACUCUGUCUUCUGCCCCCUCAGCAAUUCCUCCAGAAGACCUAAUAUUGUCUCCUCAGCCUAAGCCCUCUCUACCAUCCUCUUUAAUUCUCUCACAUGACCCGAUCACCCUCUUAGCUGACUUAUUUUCACCCUCACCUCUGAGGCACCCUCUGCCACCACAGCCUGUUUCUCCCCUGGAUUCCAAGUUCCUCUUGGACCAUUCCCCACCCCAACAGCUUCCCUCUCCCCUUCUCCCACCACAUCACAUUCAGAGAGUGGAGCCCAAUCUUCAUCCUGUGGCCAGUUUGUCUCUGAACACCAUCUUUUCAUUUGGCUCCACCCUAUCCCAAGAUAUGAACCCCUUACCAAAUGUUUCCCAGGCCAUGAAUCCAACUGAUUCAUGUGCUUGUCAUCAUGAACCAACAACCCCAACUGCUUUACCACUGCAGGACAGCACUGCAACUCAGUCUAAAGCAAGUCCCACAAUAUUGAAGCCUUUUCCAGAGACAUUAUCUCUAGGUAGCUCUGGUGGGACAGAAUAUGCCUCAACAAUCAGAGGCAUUGACCAUUCAUGCCCUGCAUCUUCAGAAUUCUACUGCUGGCAGCCUCAUGGCAAGGACUUGUUUCCCUCCACUACUGCACCAUCUGAUUUCGUACAAGAGCUUCUUACCCUUCACUAUUCUGAUGCCACUAUAGGGGGGCACUCUGUGGCCAACCUCAUACAGCCUAUUAACCUAUCAUUUCUCAGCCAUGACAUUCUGGAACUCCUGGAGAGACAAGUCAAAAAAAGGGGUGAUUUCCUGAUGUGGAAAGAAAAUGAAAACAAAGCAGGAUCUUUUCCAAAACCCUGUAGACCAAACUGUCAACUAAAUUCUUCAUGGAAAAUGUUAGCCUCAAUUGCAGAUAAGCAAGACUUGGCAGCCUCACUUCCUUUUUGGGCCAGUAAAGACAAACUAGAACAGCUGCACAUCCACCAGCAGCCCCCAUGUUCUAAGUGUGUUGAGGACCAUUUAGAGCAAAAAUAUGUGCAGCUCUUCUGGGGUCUCCCACUUCUGCACAGUAAGUCUCUGCACCCUACUGUUCUUGUCCAACAUGGUCAUUACUCCAUGUUUGUAUUCUUCAAUGGCAUUACAAAUACAUCUAUAUCCCAAGAAUCUCCAGUACUUUCCCCUCCCCAACCUCUAUCCUUGCCUAGUACCCAACUUCUACCCUUGCCUCAAACCCUACCCCAAGGUCAGUCCCCACAUCACACUCAGGUCCAGUCCAGGGCUCAACGUCAAUCUCCACUCCCAGCCCUACUACCUAGUCCUCUAUUCCUGAUUAGGAUCUGUGGAGUGUGUUUUCAUAGACCCCAGAAUGAGGCACAGUCUCUUAUGCCAUCUGAAAUUAGCCAUCUGGAGUGGAAUGUGUUGCAGAAAGUGAAGGAAGGUGUGUGGGGUUUACCCUCUUUGGUUAAAAAAUCCCAGGAAGACAUUUGUCCUACAGCUCCCAGUCUUGCAUUGUUCAGCCAGCCCUUUAAGGCCCAUGUUCCCAUAUCCAUUAUUCCUGGAUAUUUUCCAUUCAGCUGUGAGCUAAGGAAGAAACCAGAGCACCAACUUCGAAAAAGACUCAUCCAGAGCAAUUGGGGCCUGCCUCGCAUAAUUCAUGAGUCUCUGUCAAUGCUGCAUCCUCAGAAAAAAAUUUUGGAGAUAUUUGAGUUAGAGAACAAUCAUGGACCCUUACAUAGCUCUUUGGUUGAGAGUCAGGGCUGCAAUGUUCUAAAGAAAUUAGGAUCAAGCAUCCCUAGAACCUUCCACGAGAGGAGCUCAAAUAUGCUUUCCCUGGAGAAUGUGGGGGAAUUAUCGGGGAUACAGACAGGAGAAUGGCCCAAAAGAUCAUCUGUUGCAUGAUCCAGAGAAUCUUCAGAUGAGGAUCUGAAGUCUAACUCUGAGAGAGACCUGGACACUCAUAUGAUGCAUCUGUCAGGGAAUCAUUCAGGGGAGAGCCUAGGUCAGAAACAACUUGAAAAUGCCCUGACAGUACAUUUGAGCAAGAAAUUUGAGGAAAUCAAUGAGGGUCGAAUGCCUGGGACUGUGCAUAGUUCAUGGCAUUCAGUCAAGCAGACAAUGUCUCUUGCUGAGGAAUCCCACAGCCAAAUAAAACAUCAAAAUAUGGCAGCAUUGCUGGGUGAGGACCACCGUGUUGAUACUUCCCAGGAGAUUUUAUUCCUUAGUUCCAACAAUCAAAAGAUGUUGGAAGCCCAUAUUAAAUCUUUCCAUAUGAGGAUUCUGUGGGGCCUUCCCCGCAAAGUCCAUGAAUCCAUAGAAAUCUUUAACUUUGAAAGGGGACCUUUCCAAUUCCUUUUCCCAUUUCGACCUUCCCUCCUCAGUCUCCUCCAUUUCUGGUCUAGCCAAAAAUGGGGUCUCCAAUCCCCCUUAGAAGAAGGUUUUCAAGGAGAAAAGUUGGGAACAACAAGCUCAGUUCCGGUCCUGGAUUGUCCUCACCCUGUCACCUCACCUGUCGGCAAAGAAAGCAGAGGACCCUGAGAAGACAAUUUUCUGAUACUGACCAUGACCUUACGGAGACAGAUUCCAAAGAUGGGGCCUCCACACCCCUUAGAAGAAGCACUACAGAUUUUCAGGGAGAAAAGUUAGAAAUAAGCAGCUCAUUCCCCAUCCUGGGUCAUCCUCACUGCAUCAUCUCACCUGUCGACAAAGAAAGGCAGGGAGCCCUGAGAAGAGAAUUCUCUGAUACUGACCAUGAGCUUACAGAAAGUCCAGACAGUUGAGGAUGGCAGACAGACUUUUCUGCCCCCACCACACAGCAUCAUAGGCAAAGUCAGUCAGAAACAGACUGUACUAGCCAGUACCUGCAGCCAAAAGCUGACAAUAAUGCAAGCUAGGGCUCGCUGUAAGUGAAGGCUUACGAGAGAGAGUUCCAGUAAUAAUGUAGAAAGGCUUCAGGGCAGUAGAAAGACAUUUUCUGUCACCAAUGGGUCUAAAGAAACCAUCUAAAACUACUUGAUAACCAGCAAGUCAGGAAGCUGCUCAGUGAUAAAUACAUAAUAAGCACUUCUACAACUGAAAGUUUCCCACCAAGAAUAUCAGUUUCCCGAGAUCCUAUGUCAUCAUACCUUAAAAUCAGAUGUUGAGUGAGUUAAAGUUUAAAUUGGCCCAGAGGGAGCAUAGCCAAGUUCAAAGCCAUUUCACUGACAUGUCCCUUGCGUUAGAUAACUUGGUUUCCAAGGACUUACUGACUCAUGCUCAGGGCAUCUACAGUGAGCACAUGUCAACUUUCCAGGUGGUGCAUGUCCACUUGGAGGACACAGGGAUACGUGAGGAACAGUAGCAGGAGCCCACGGUCCCUAAGCAUGUCUUACAGAAUGUCCAGAUAAGAAUUUCCCAUGAGUGGCUGGGCGCAUGAGCCUGCCAAGACCCAAAGGAGGAGAGCUUGGUGGACAGGAUGCUGGACUGGGGACAUCCCAACCGAGGAGAAAGGGCCAUCCUGUUCAAAGCAAGACAUCAGAGGAGGUGCUUGGGAGCAAAUCUUCCCCAACCUUGAAAACACAGCCUCCUCCUGAAAACCUUUUCAGAAAAUGGAUGAAGACCUUUUUGCAGCAGUUUAAUAAUCCCAGCAUAACAGAUGAAGAACAAGAAAGUUCCUGGGAAAAGGGUACCUCCCUGUCGUCAUCUGCAGAAUAGAGGUCAAAUUAAAAGUAGAGCUGCCUUUACUGGGACUACUGAAGCUCAGAAAAUUAGGAAAGACACUGGGAAGUUCCCAGAGGAGAAGCUGGGGCAUAGGCAUGGGAUAGAUAUCACCUGUCCCCAAGAGCCCCUUGUCUUCCCAGUGGAGCUUGGGAAAGCUCAGCACAACCUAGAAGUGCAGGUCAGAGCAGCGCCUGUACAGGGCUAUCCCUGUAACUACAUGGUUCCCUCCUGCAAACUGACAUGUACAAAAUCAUACAGCCAAGAAGCUAUCUUUGUUGGCCAGAAUUAUCCUACAAUGAUUAGACAGAUCAUAGACAAGGACAGACAGCCCCAGAAAGUUGAGGCAUUUAGGGGGAAGAUAUUGUGUCAAAGGCAUCCCCAAUCCAUGCCCCACAGGAAGCCUAUGCCACAUCCAAACCCCACUUGCCAGCAUCAGGUCAGCCUGGUGUGUCCAGCCAUCCCGACCAGUGCUAAAAGCACUGUGUUCAGUGAUGUGCCUUUACUAACUGGACAGAAAAUGCUUCCAAAGCAUUUCCAGGGAGGAAAAUUUUCCCCCACAAUAAUUCACUUCUUGUUGAGAAUCUUGAUUCUCCCCAAUAAAUAUUCUAAUAAGAAUAAUAUUUUCUCUGUGUAUUGUGUUGGGGGGUAUAGGUUUUGGGUAACACAAGCUUGUGGUUAGGGAAAGG